AACGAACGCUGGCGGCAGGCCUAACACAUGCAAGUCGAACGCUCGUAGCAAUACGAGAGUGGCAGACGGGUGAGUAACGCGUGGGAACCUACCCUUUGGUUCGGAAUAGCCCAGGGAAACUUGGGGUAAUACCGGAUAAGCCCUUCGGGGGAAAGAUUUAUCGCCAUCGGAUGGGCCCGCGUCGGAUUAGCUAGUUGGUGGGGUAACGGCCUACCAAGGCGACGAUCCGUAGCUGGUCUGAGAGGAUGANCAGCCACACUGGGACUGAGACACGGCCCAGACUCCUACGGGAGGCAGCAGUGGGGAAUAUUGGACAAUGGGCGCAAGCCUGAUCCAGCCAUGCCGCGUGAGUGACGAAGGUCUUCGGAUUGUAAAGCUCUCUUGGC
rnacentral:rRNA from 1 species